ACAGACGAGGAGCUUGCUUCUCUGACGUUAGCGGCGGACGGGUGAGUAACACGUGGAUAACCUACCUAUAAGACUGGGAUAACUUCGGGAAACCGGAGCUAAUACCGGAUAAUAUAUUGAACCGCAUGGUUCAAUAGUGAAAGACGGUUUUGCUGUCACUUAUAGAUGGAUCCGCGCCGCAUUAGCUAGUUGGUAAGGUAACGGCUUACCAAGGCAACGAUGCGUAGCCGACCUGAGAGGGUGAUCGGCCACACUGGAACUGAGACACGGUCCAGACUCCUACGGGAGGCAGCAGUAGGGAAUCUUCCGCAAUGGGCGAAAGCCUGACGGAGCAACGCCGCGUGAGUGAUGAAGGUCUUCGGAUCGUAAAACUCUGUUAUUAGGGAAGAACAAAUGUGUAAGUAACUAUGCACGUCUUGACGGUACCUAAUCAGAAAGCCACGGCUAACUACGUGCCAGCAGCCGCGGUAAUACGUAGGUGGCAAGCGUUAUCCGGAAUUAUUGGGCGUAAAGCGCGCGUAGGCGGUUUUUUAAGUCUGAUGUGAAAACCCACGGCUCAACCGUGGAGGGCCUUUGGAAACUGGAAAACUUGAGUGCAAAAGAGGAAAGUGGAAUUCCAUGUGUAGCGGUGAAAUGCGCAGAGAUAUGGAGGAACACCAGUGGCGAAGGCGACUUUCUGGUCUGUAACUGACGCUGAUGUGCGAAAGCGUGGGGAUCAAACAGGAUUAGAUACCCUGGUACUCCACGCCGUAAACGAUGAGUGCUAAGUGUUAGGGGGUUUCCGCCCCUUAGUGCUGCAGCUAACGCAUUAAGCACUCCGCCCUGCCC
rnacentral:rRNA from 1 species